rnacentral:rRNA from 1 species
CCCUUAGAUGUUCUGGGCUGCACGCGCGCUACACUGAAGCGUUCAACGAGUAUUCACCUUGCCCGGGAGGGUUGGGUAAUCUUCUUAAAACGCUUCGUGAUGGGGAUAGAUUAUUGCAAUUAUUAAUCUUCAACGAGGAAUUCCUAGUAAGCGCGAGUCAUAAGCUCGCGUUGAUUACGUCCCUGCCCUUUGUACACACCGCCCGUCGCUACUACCGAUUGAAUGGUUUAGUGAGAUCCUUGGAUUGGUCCCGGGAUGGUGGGAAACUGCCGCUCCGGUGUGCUGAGAAGACGAUCAAACUUGAUCAUUUAGAGGAAGUAAAAGUCGUANCA